GUCCAUAAAUGGCUAUUAGCCAGGAUGGGCAGGGAUGAUGUCCCCAGCCUUCGUUUGCCAGAAGCUGGGAAUGGGUGACAGGGGAUGGAUCACUUGAGGAUUACCUGUUCUGUUCAUUC